UUUACAUAGCUUAUACAUAGAGCGUUGCAUUGAAGCUGCAGAAGAAAUAGUUAUUAUUUGUAAAUG
rnacentral:tRNA from 1 species